ensembl:snoRNA
AAGACUAUACUUUCAGGGAUCAUUUCUAUAGUUUGUUACUAGAGAAGUUUCUCUGAACGUGUAGAGUACCGAAAACCACGAGGAGGAGACAUAGCGUUUUUUCCUGAGCGUGAAGUUGGUUCUUGGUGUUGCUCUAAUUGCGACUGCCAUUUACCGUUGAUGAUCGUUCUUUCUCUUCUUUGUGAAGAUUAAGAGGGAGAAAACGCAGUCUGAGUGGUU